UACGAAGGUCCCAAGCGUUAUCCGGAUUUAUUGGGUUUAAAGGGUGCGUAGGCGGGUUAUUAAGUCAGUGGUGAAAGCCUUCAGCUUAACUGAAGAAUUGCCAUUGAUACUGAUGAUCUUGAGUAUGAUUGAGGUGGGCGGAAUGUGUCAUGUAGCGGUGAAAUGCUUAGAUAUGACACAGAACACCGAUUGCGAAGGCAGCUCACUAAGCCAUAACUGACGCUGAUGCACGAAAGCGUGGGGAGCAAACAGG
rnacentral:rRNA from 1 species